UUCGCAAUGCCCGAAAGGGUGACGAAGCGACGCCGCGUGAGCGAAGAAGGCCCUAGGGUUGUAAAGCUCUGUCGGGGGUUAUGAAAUGUAGAUCGGUUAAUACCCGGUUUAUUUAACAAAGGCCCCAAAGGAAGCCUCGGCUAACUCUGUGCCAGCAGCCGCGGUAAUACAGAGGUGGCAAGCGUUGUUCGGUAUUAUUGGGCGUAAAGAGCACGUAGGUGGUUUUGUAAGUCAGAUGUGAAAGCCUUCUGUUCAAAGGAAGAACGGCAUCUGAAACUGCGAAUCUUGAGUGUAGGAGGGGAGAGCGGAACUUCUGGUGGAGCGGUGAAAUGCGUAGAUAUCAGAAGGAACGCCGGCGGCGAAAGCGACUCUCUGGCCUAUUACUGACACUGAGUGUGCGAAAGUUAGGGGAGCAAACGGGAUUAGAUACCCCGGUAGUCCUAACCGUAAACGAUGGGCACUAAGUAGAGGGGUUUU
rnacentral:rRNA from 1 species